GAAAGGGUGGCGGUUAAUACCCGUCAGGUGUGACGUUACUGACAGAAGAAGCACCGGCUAACUCCGUGCCAGCAGCCGCGGUAAUACGGAGGGUGCGAGCGUUAAUCGGAAUUACUGGGCGUAAAGCGUACGCAGGCGGUUUGUUAAGCGAGAUGUGAAAGCCCCGGGCUCAACCUGGGAACUGCAUUUCGAACUGGCAAACUAGAGUGUGAUAGAGGGUGGUAGAAUUUCAGGUGUAGCGGUGAAAUGCGUAGAGAUCUGAAGGAAUACCGAUGGCGAAGGCAGCCACCUGGGUCAACACUGACGCUCAUGUACGAAAGCGUGGGGAGCAAACGGGAUUAGAUACCCCGGUAGUCCACGCCGUAAACGAUGUCUACUAGAAGCUCGGAGCCUCGGUUCUGUUUUUCAAAGCUAACGCAUUAAGUAGACCGCCUGGGGAGUACGGCCGCAAGGUUAAAACUCAAAUGAAUUGACGGGGGCCCGCACAAGCGGUGGAGCAUGUGGUUUAAUUCGAUGCAACGCGAAGAACCUUACCUACACUUGACAUACAGAGAACUUACCAGAGAUGGUUUGGUGCCUUCGGGAACUCUGAUACAGGUGCUGCAUGGCUGUCGUCAGCUCGUGUUGUGAGAUGUUGGGUUAAGUCCCGCAACGAGCGCAACCCCUAUCCUUAGUUGCUAGCAGGUAAUGCUGAGAACUCUAAGGAGACUGCCGGUGAUAAACCGGAGGAAGGUGGGGACGACGUCAAGUCAUCAUGGCCCUUACGUGUAGGGCUACACACGUGCUACAAUGGCGCAUACAGAGUGCUGCGAACUCGCGAGAGUAAGCGAAUCACUUAAAGUGCGUCGUAGUCCGGAUUGGAGUCUGCAACUCGACUCCAUGAAGUCGGAAUCGCUAGUAAUCGCGUAUCAGAAUGACGCGGUGAAUACGUUCCCGGGCCUUGUACACACCGCCCGUCACACCAUGGGAGUGGGUUGCUCCAGAAGUAGAUAGUCUAACCCUCGGGAGGACGUUUACCACGGAGUGAUUCAUGACUGGGGUGAAGUCGUAACAAGGUAGCCCUAGGGGAACCUGCGGCUGGAUCACCUCCUUAGAGUUUGAUCCUGGCUCAGAUUGAACGCUGGCGGCAGGCCUAACACAUGCAAGUCGAGCGGUAACAGAAAGUAGCUUGCUACUUUGCUGACGAGCGGCGGACGGGUGAGUAAUGCUUGGGAACAUGCCUUGAGGUGGGGGACAACAGUUGGAAACGACUGCUAAUACCGCAUAAUGUCUACGGACCAAAGGGGGCUUCGGCUC
rnacentral:rRNA from 1 species